UCAAGCCUGGCACACCUUACACAGUUCGUCCCACGUACGAUAUCAGUUAAUUAAGGAAGUGGAGAUCAUGAACCGAUCUUCCUCUCUCGCAUGCACAGUGACGAUCCUGGCUCUCAUAUGUUGCACCCUGCCAUGCUAUGCCCUCCAAGUUCAUAUGGACGGGGACCAUACGGGAAAUGGCCCUGCAACGCCGUGGUACCCGCCGGCGCCACACGGACACGGGUACCACCGCAGGUAUGGGGACCGAGUUCCAGUGGAUCCUCAAUCACCGACGGCCAUCCAGGGGCAACCUUAACACUGUGCCGCCGGCCGCCGUUGUGACGAACACCCCUAUCAAUUAUUGUAUUAUUAGUAUACUGCAAGAGUGUUGGAACGUUUAUCAUUUCAGCCGAAUCUGAUUUGCACCAAGUUAGGGGUGCUUAAUUAUGUUCCGAUUAAUAUAAGGGUGCUAUUACGCACGUUGCAUUGAUAAAUAAAGCACUAUCUUUAGUAUUGA